rnacentral:rRNA from 1 species
UACGUAGGGGGCUAGCGUUGUUCGGAUUCAUUGGGCGUAAAGGGUGCGUAGGUGGCGCUGUAAGUCGGGUGUGAAAUUUCGGAGCUUAACUCCGAAACUGCAUUCGAUACUGCGGUGCUCGAGGACUGGAGAGGAGACUGGAAUUCAUGGUGUAGCAGUGAAAUGCGUAGAGAUCAUGAGGAAGACCAGUGGCGAAGGCGGGUCUCUGGACAGUUCCUGACACUGAGGCACGAAGGCCAGGGGGAGCAAAACGGG